rnacentral:lncRNA from 12 species
GCAGUGGAGGGAGAGGGGGAACCUGGAGCGGACUCCUCACCCACCGGAGCCCGAGCCCCACCCGAGGCUCCACGCCACAAGCUUGAGAUCCUGACUUGAGCCAAACUCAAGAGUCGACGUGGAACCGACGGAACCACCCAGGAGCCCCUCAAAUGUUCCUAACUGCAACCACAUGCUGUGAACCCUGGGGGGCAGGGGGUAUCUGUGACCCCCAGUCUGCCUUGAAGGGCGGGAGGCCUGCAGGGCCUGAGGAUGGGAACUGAGGAUGUGGGAGGGUGCCUGCAUCGCCUUCCCGCCCGGCGUGGGGACAGGACUCUCCCCCGGGACCCUCGGCCUUCAGGGUGAAGGGCUAAGUGCUGAUUGGACCCCGCCUGCCCACAGUGAUGAUGCGGGACCCCACUCUGGGUGGAACUGUGGUGCCCCCGAGUUCCACCGCUGCCUGGUGCCCACUCUGCAUCCGCAGACCGUCGGAGGCACUCGUGCUCCGGAUCUGGCUCGCAGAUCUCCUGCUCUCCCCAGUAGCCCAGUACUCAUCUCUCCUCAGUACCCCAACUCUCCCACUCUCCCCAGUACCCCGGUACUCCCACUCUCCCCAGUACCCCAGUGCAUAAAGAGGAGGCGCUCACACAGCUACAGGUCACAGCACGAUGCAGGAGGACCCGGAGACCCUGCUGGCCUUGCAAAGAGCCAAUAUUGUGGCCCAGUACCAUCAGGCGCACCAAGCAGGGUCUCUGCAGGACCUGUCACUGUGCAAGGUCACCGACCACCAGGGCUUUCUGCAGGACAAGGAGCUGCCCGGCCCCAGCCCCCGCGAGGCCAAGAAACUCCGCCAGGAGACCUGGCGCGCGGACAAAUGGAUAAAAAUGCUCAAGCGAUGGGACCACUACCUCCCCGGCGAGAAGCUGCGGCGCCGGGUCUACAAGGGGGUCCCGCCCCAGGUGCGGGGACAGGUGUGGCUGCAAUUGCUGAAGGUCGUUGA